UCUGUAACAAAAAAAGAAAACUUAAAAUCAGAUUUUAGAAGAAUUCAUGAACCCUAAUUCAUCUUCUAGUGAACCAUCGGAAAAAAAAAAUUCAUCCUCUUGCUCUCUUCAGCGGCAGCCUCGCCGGUGGUGGCUCGACCGCCGCGAUUCCUUCCUUUGCACCACCGUGUUCCAGCUUCGUUUUGAGCACGGGCCUCCUCCCUCGUUCUAGAUUCCUUCCUUUGAACCGCAAGUCCACCUCCGCCCCAAACACAUCAUCCGCUGCAAGCCCUCUCCCUCGUCGCCGCAAGCCUCUUUUAUUGCACCUUCGCCACAAGCUCCUUUUGAUUUGACUAAAAUCACCUCCUCCACUGUCGCAAGCACCUCCGCUGCAAGCCGUAAGUGUGUAUUUGGAGAUGAAGAGACUGCAGGAGUUAGAAGAAGCAGACUUAUUUUUUCUUGAAAUACCCUGUCAAUGAUUUUUCAGUCGUAUGGGCAGACCUUCAAUUGUGAGUAUCUUUCUUUUUCGUCUUCUGUAUUCUCCUUGUAGAAUCCCAAAUCUCAAGUAUAGUAGUAGUAGAUGUUAAAUGGAGUAAGAUCUUAAAGCAAUUUUUUAUUUUUGCAUAGAUCAAGAAUAACACCAAUUGGUUGGAUGUACAACUCAUUAUCAUUUGAGACAUUUAUUUAAGCUGCUAAAUCUUUAAGAAUUAGGACUUGGUUAGGGGAAAACUGGAAAACUGAGUGGGUAUUGGGUUUUCAGUUUUGAUUGUUACUUGUUCCUUUCCCUAAUGUGAUAUUUUGAACCUUUUCUUGUACUGUUAAGUUAAGUGUGGAGAAAGAUGCGACUCCUGUAACUUGAAUUUUACUUAGCUAUGUCUACAGAAGAUGAAGUAUGAGAAUGUGGGAUAUAUAUGCAUUAUCAGAGAAAGGGAAUAUAUUCUCAUAGAAAAUCACAUGUCUAAUUAUAGUGUUCUGAACAACUCUAGUUGGUAUUUUCAUAUUAUCUUUUGCUUUUGUUUGUGAUUCUGUUAUUUUAGAUUAAGCAAAGCUCAUGUCUUGGUCUAUGCAAUCCAAGGAACUGUAGCUGAGGUAAACAUAGAACUUGUCUCUAUGGUGCUUAAUGUUGUCGUCAAGUUGUUGCUCACUAUUAGCCAAAGUACUGUUAGAACUCUAUCUAAUAUAUAUGUUUGAGGCUUUUUUUGUAGUACGAUCACCAUGAUCUAAAUUACUUUCCCCCUUUAUGGUAUUGUAAUUUUUCUUUUAACUGUCUUGUUUGCAUUUAUUUUUUUCUGUAGAAGGAAAGCUAUCCAAGUGUGCGGCCUUUUAUACUGUGGAGUGUGGACUAUAGGAUUCUUGUGAAAUUUUUGUUGAUCUGCAGGACUAUAAAUAUUUCAGUAUACUGAGAAUUUUCUUGAGCAUUUGAGGUUUACAUUAUUUUUGUUUGUAACAACUAACAAAUGAAUUUUUUGAUUGGCACUUGGAAGUUCUAAACUAAUAUGCAUUAGAGGAUUGUUUUACCAACCACCACUAAUUUCAUUUUAAUGCAUUUUUCUCCCUUGACAGAGAAAACAGGACGAAGCUAUCAAAUCAAAUGUAAGAUAUUCAUCUUUUGAGGAAACAUGGGGUGCCGAAAAAGAAAUCAGACAUCAUCAAAUGGCAUAAAUUGCAGCAAUUGUCCUUUCUGAAAUCACAGUGUGAGUAUCACUAUAUGUGAUGCGGUAGGGGAUGGGAUCAACACAAAAGCAUUUCAGAUUGUCAUCUUCUACCUCAACUCAUGCAAAAGAUAUUCACUUUUACGAGUCAUAUGAUGCCAUCAGAUUAAAGAGACUUCUCCUGGAAGGGGUGGUUAUGUUAUAAACAUCUUGAUUGAAGUUUUCCAUCUUGAUUGAAGUUUCAAGAUUGAAAGUGCAAAGCUAAUGCGUGAAGAUUAUUUUGUAGAAUAGGUUGAAUAUGAAUUAUCAAUUAUGUACUCUUACUGAAUAUGUACUAUUGAACUUCAGUAGUUGAACGAUGAUGUAACAAGUUUUGAUUGCAAUAAAACGAGACUUGAAAUCUAAUUCUUUGUCAA